GUGCUCGCUUCGUAGCACAUAUGCUAAAAUUGGAACGAUACAGAGAAGAAUUAGCAUGGCCUCUGUGCGAGGAUGACACCCAAAUUUGUGAAGCAUUUCAUAUUUUU